AACCUAGCACACCUGCGGUGUGUACCUGCGGAGGGAUCAUUAACCUUUCAAAUCAGGGUGCGGCGCGGCCCCCGAGGAGCGGAAACAAUCCUUGGGAGGUAUGCGGGGGCUUCGAGCCCCCCAUUUACGCACGCACGACUGCCAUCCUUACUUUACGAGCACCUUCUGUUCUCCCUCGGCGGGGCGACCUGCCGUUGGAACCGAAUAAACUCUUUUUGCAUCUAGCAUUACCUGUUCCGA
rnacentral:misc_RNA from 1 species